rnacentral:rRNA from 1 species
GAUGAACGCUAGCUACAGGCUUAACACAUGCAAGUCGAGGGGCAGCAUGAACAAAGCUUGCUUUGUUUGAUGGCGACCGGCGCACGGGUGCGUAACACGUAUCCAAUCUGCCCGCGGCUCGGGGAUAGCCCAUCGAAAGAUGGAUUAAUACCCGAUGGCGUGGUCACUCCGCAUGGAGUUUCCACUAAAGGUUUUCCGGCCGCGGAUGAGGAUGCGUAUGAUUAGGUAGUAGGCGGGGUAACGGCCCACCUAGCCUUCGAUCAGUAGGGGUUCUGAGAGAAAGGUCCCCCACACUGGAACUGAGACACGGUCCAGACUCCUACGGGAGGCAGCAGUGAGGAAUAUUGGUCAAUGGGCGAGAGCCUGAACCAGCCAAGUAGCGUGAAGGAAGACUGCCCUAUGUGUUGUAAACUUCUUUUGUUCGGGAAUAAAGUGCAGUAUGUAUACUGUUUUGUAUGUACCGUUCGAAUAAGCAUCGGCUAAUUCCGUGCCAGCCGCCGCGGUAAAAC